GACCUCGCCCCUACAGGGGUAUAACCGUAGAAAUGCGACUAAUCCCCAUAGUCCCGCGGGCUGCAUGGCCUGCGGGGGAAAGGCCAGCCGGUAGGGGAUGGGCAUGCGGCGCAUUAGCUAGUUGGCGGGGCAACGGCCCACCAAGGCGACGAUGCGUAGGGUUCUGAGAGGAAGGUCCCCCACACUGGUACUGAGACACGGACCAGACUCCUACGGGAGGCAGCAGUGAGGAAUAUUGGUCAAUGGGCGCAGGCCUGAACCAGCCAAGUCGCGUGAGGGAAGACGGUCCUACGGAUUGUAAACCUCUUUUGUCGGGGAGUAACGUGCGGGACGCGUCCCGUAUUGAGAGUACCCGAAGAAAAAGCAUCGGCUAACUCCGUG
rnacentral:rRNA from 1 species